GCAGGAUUAGCUCAGUGGUAGAGCAGCCGACUGCAGAUCGGCAGGUCUCUGGUUCAAUCCCGGAAUUCUGCU
rnacentral:tRNA from 1 species